CUUGGAGAAGGAAGGACAGCAAACCAACCAACCUGGGCGGGAAGAUGUUUCCUGGGAGCAGUCCGCAGUGAAUUUAAGGCUUUCACCACUCUCAUUUCUUUCUUCCGGAUCAAAGAAUCAUAUUAGUACUGAAAGGGAUCUCAGUUUCCCAUUCCAUUAUUUUACAAAUCGCGAAGCUGAAGCCCGGAGAAAUGUUAUCAGUUUACAAAGUUUCUUCCUCAGGUGAUUCUUCUAUUGUCCUGGCACAAAAGUCAAACUUCUCUGGAUACUCUCCUGAGUGUAAGGAAUCACUUGUGAGAUGGAUGGACUGCUUCCACUUGAUAUUCUCUUAUGUUUAAUUAAAUGAAUGAAAAAACUUACUAUAUAAGGCACUGUGCUUGAUGUUGGGAAUGGACAUGCAAAAAUAAAACAGUGUUUGC
rnacentral:lncRNA from 1 species